rnacentral:rRNA from 1 species
GACGAACGCUGGCGGCGUGCCUAAUACAUGCAAGUUGAGCGCUGAAGGUUGGUACUUGUACCGACUGGAUGAGCAGCGAACGGGUGAGUAACGCGUGGGGAAUCUGCCUUUGAGCGGGGGACAACAUUUGGAAACGAAUGCUAAUACCGCAUAAAAACUUUAAACACAAGUUUUAAGUUUGAAAGAUGCAAUUGCAUCACUCAAAGAUGAUCCCGCGUUGUAUUAGCUAGUUGGUGAGGUAAAGGCUCACCAAGGCGAUGAUACGUAGCCGACCUGAGAGGGUGAUCGGCCACAUUGGGACUGAGACACGGCCCAAACUCCUACGGGAGGCAGCAGUAGGGAAUCUUCGGCAAUGGACGAAAGUCUGACCGAGCAACGCCGCGUGAGUGAAGAAGGUUUUCGGAUCGUAAAACUCUGUUGGUAGAGAAGAACGCUGGUGAGAGUGGAAAGCUCAUCAAGUGACGGUAACUACCCAGAAAGGGACGGCUAACUACGUGCCAGCCGCCGCGGUAA